ensembl:lncRNA
GUUACCUACAACUGUACAGGAAGGAGUGACUGAGUUUGAGGGGUUCAUGGCUCAGGUGGCCAUCUAGGCAGGGACCUGGCAGGGUCUGUGCGUUGCUGACAUGGGAGGCCCCCAGAACUCACACAACUGUGAUAAAACAAUGCAGCUUGCAAAGAGACCUAUGAGGAAGAUUAUUAACAUGUGCCUUGGAGUUGUAGAGGCUCACUGGAAGUGAGGCUCAUAAUUUUCCAGAAUAUCUUUCAAAGGGUAUUGAGAAAGUCAGAGAUUUUACAUAACAAGGAUUUUUGUUGUUUUGUUUUGAUCAUUAGCAGUGACUAAAAUUGUCCUUCAUCUCUCCAGUCAUACCCUCUUCUGAAGAGUCCAUAGUAAUUUCAGAAUGCAUUAAUAUUAAUAGUUCAUCUCCAUCCAAAGGAAUCAUUGUCUCUAGUUGUUUUUUUUUCCAAAUAAAAGUUUAAGAAAUGCUACAUAUAAAAGUGAUCAUUCCUCUGCAAGGCACUUAAUAGUAAGUGAGAAAACAAAGUACUGAAUUUGAAUCGGAAAGCAAAUUAAUUUCAGCUCAACAAAAUUACUGAAAUAUGCAAAGAACAAAGUUAUUAAUUGAGUUUGGGGAAGUCAAGGAAGGUGGCGCUGAGGAGGUUACGUUUGAACUCAGUCUUAAUGGAAUUAGACAUGCACCAAAUGGGAAAAGAGUUUAAGCAUUGGUUGGGGGCAGGAGGACAUUGCUGGCAGAAGACACAGCAUGAGAAAAGGUAUGUGACAUAAGGGAACAUGGUUCUAGAAUGGAAAGCACUACAUUUUCACAAAUGUGUGACGUGAAGAAGGCAUAGCAGAUGAAGCUGGAGAAGUAGGCAAGACACCAUCAAGUUAAAGGGAAUAUUGAAGCAGAUUAAGACCAACAGUGGUAGCCUUCAUCAAUGAGCUAAUGCGUCUGUGGAAGACACAUCCCAGGGAAAGAAAUCACACAAAUAUCGAGGGGGUCUGCCCUUAUUUGGGGCCUAGAACAGAGAAACAGAGUCUGGCUUGGCAGCAGGGGUCUUAUAGCUCUCAUAACACCAGCGGCACAACUCUAAGAAGCAUAAAGUUUCCUGAAUCACAUGAAAAGAUGCCCUGCAAAGUAAAAGGGGAAAAUGUCAAUGUUCUCCUGGCACUAAAGAUCUUAGACACAGCAUCGUCAAGAAGCUCCUCAGGUGGAGGUCCUCAGGCUCCCUGUCCUCUUGAACCCUCACCAGGUUUUGGAGAGAAUUGCAGUAAUUUGUAUUUUUUUUUCUCUUCUUUUCUUUUUUCUCCCCCCCACCCCGUCCCCCAGAAAAGAGGGAGGGCUGAAAAAAAAGUAAAAGUCUCACUUUGUUUUCUUCACUUCCCUACUGGGUUCUUGAUUCAUUAGGAAUCGGUUCCAGUUCCUGGAGCAUCCCUGGAGCCAGCUACCCUGGCUUUCACUGGCAGCCUUCACAGUAACGCAAGCAGCCUGCAGCCCCACUCUGUAGUUGGCUUUUAUUCAUGCUAGGAAGGCCUUCUCGCCUUCGGAAAAUUCGCACUGCUCCAUGAUCCAAAUGAGAAGAACUGCCUUUUAAGCAACGCUAAGACUUUCAGAUAAUAAUCACCCUCACACUUGAAAACAUAACACUCCUGUUUCAUUGUGAUCUCUUCAUUGGUUUCUAGACCUCAAACUCCCCAGGGAAUGUCACAAAUUCACAUGCUAUCUCUGAGAAAUAGAUACAGCACUUGCAGCUCUGAUUUACCUAAGAAGGAGUGUUAGGAAAAAAAAAAAAAA